rnacentral:tRNA from 1 species
GCGCGGAUGGUGGAAUGGUAGACACGAGAGACUUAAAAUUUCUUGAUCUUACGGUCGUGCGGGUUCAAGUCCCGCUCUGCGCA